rnacentral:lncRNA from 1 species
AGGCGGCCGCCAUGUUGAAUGUGGCUCCGCCCGGGGAGCUGCUGGAGUACGAGGGAGCCAAGAAGGGCUCCAAGGACCUCUGCCUCUUCUCUGAGCUCGUUCUUAGGCCCCUCUGCCGUCUGCACGCUCCUUUCCAGCCACCCGGCCUCCCGAUGCCGGCCUAGCACGUUCCUCGCGCCAGGCUUUUGCAUCUGCCCUUCCCACUGUCUUUCGUGUGCAAACGCCACAGGUCCUGCGCACCGCACCCCUCAUGGAAUAGCGUCGCCUCCUCUCUACCUUCACACACGCCCCGAAACUUGCCUCUCAUCCUGUGUCUCUAUAGAUUUUUGCACCAUCUGACCGACGAACCCCUACCCUUCCCUAGACCAUGUCACGAUUCCGUCGCAUCCUCUGCCAUUGUCCCUCGGAAUAUUCCUAGAUGGCAUUUAUCACUGUGGAUAGUUACCACUACUCAGCGUUUUGGCUAAGAUCAAGUGUUCCAUCAUCGUGGGUGGCUCAUACGUGUAAUCCCAGUACUUUGGAAGGUGGAGGCAAGAGGACUGCUUGAGGCCAGGAGUUUCAGAUCAGCCCAAGCAAUAUAGCAAGACCUCCAUCUCUACAAAAGAUUUUUAAAAAUUAGCCAGGUGGUGGCAGCAGACGCUUGUGCAGCUAUACGCAAGAUUAAGGCUGGGACUUCCUUGGCAAGAAGCAGGAGCUGCUGAAGUUGCUGGUCAACCUAUGGGUGAAGCUGUCCCAGCUGUGCAUCACCAAUGUCAGCAGUCCCGUCUUUUUGACACCAGGGACCAGUUUCGUGGAAGAUAAUUUUCCCAUGAAUGGGGGCAGGGGGAUGGUUUUGGGAUGAUUCAAGCACAUUACGCUUAUUGCGUACACCAUCUCUAUUAUUACAUUCUAAUAUAUGAUAAAAUAAUUCUACAACUCAUCAUGAUAUAGGAUCAAUGAGAGCCCUGAGCUUCUUUCCCUGCAACUAGAUAGUCGCAUCUGGGGCUGAUGGGAGACAGUGACAGAUCAUCAGGCAUUAGAUGCUCAUAAGGAGUGCACAACCGCCGGGCGUGGUGGCUCACGCCUGUAAUCCCAGCAUUUUGGGAGGCCAAGGCGGGUGGAUCACCUGAGGUCAGGAGUUUAAGACCAGCCUGGCCAACAUGGCAAAACCCUGUAUCUGUGAAAAAUACAAAAACUAACCAGGCGUGGUGACACAUGCCUGUAAUCCCAGCAACUCAGGAGACUGAGACAGGAGAAUCGCUUGAGCUGGAGUGCAGUGGUGCAAUCAUAGCUCACUGCAGCCUUGAGCUCCUGGGCUCAAGUGAUCCUCCCACCUCAGCUUCCCAAAAUGCUGGGAUUACAAGCAUGCGUCACCACAGCAGGCCCAAUUAGAUAAGGUUUGAAGUAUGUCUACACCUGCAAGACCACCACCACAAUCGACAUAAUGAACAUCACCCGAUGCUCGUGUUCAUCAAAGUCUCUGCUCUCUCUUCCUAUGAUCACAGCAUGUCACUGUACACUCAUUUGUUUGCCUUCGUGCUUGUGAUGUCUUCCCCAUUAAACUGGGUGCCUGGUGAGGACACGGAACACA